rnacentral:tRNA from 1 species
GGAGGGGUUCCCGAGCGGUCAAAGGGGGCAGACUGUAAAUCUGUUGGCUCCGCCUUCGGAGGUUCGAAUCCUCCCCCUCCA